CAGGUGGUUGAUUAAGUCUGAUGUGAAAGCACGGCUUAACCGUGGAGGGUCAUUGGGAAACUGGUCGACUUGAGUGCAGAAGAGGGAAGGGAAUUCCAUGUGUAGCGGUGAAAUGCGUAGAGAUAUGGAGGAACACCAGUGGCGAAGGCGCUUCCUGGUCUGUAACUGACACUGAGGCGCGAAAGCGUGGGGAGCAAACAGGAUUAGAUCCCUGGUAGUCCACGCCGUAAACGAUGAGUGCUAAGUGUUGGGGGUCGAACCUCAGUGCUAAGUUAACGCAUUAAGCACUCCGCCUGGGGAGUACGGUCGCAAGACUGAAACUCAAAGGAUUGACGGGGACCCGCACAAGCGGUGGAGCAUGUGGUUUAAUUCGAAGCAACGCGAAGAACUUACCAGGUCUUGACAUACCAGUGACCAUCCUAGAGAUAGGAUUUUCCCUUCGGGGACAGGGAUACAGGUGGUGCAUGGUUGUCGUCAGCUCGUGUCGUGAGAUGUUGGGUUAAGUCCCGAACGAGCGCAACCCCUGUCGUUAGUUGCCAGCAUUCAGUUGGGGACUCUAACGAGACUGCAGUGACAAACUGGAGGAAGGUGGGGAUGACGUCAAAUCAUCAUGCCCCUUAUGACCUGGGUACACACGUGCUACAAUGGUUGGUACAAAGAGAAGCGAAGCGGUGACGUGGAGCAAACCUAUAAAGCCAAUCUCAGUUCGGAUUGUAGGCUGCAACUCGCCUACAUGAAGUUGGAAUCGCAGUAAUCGCGAAUCAGAAUGUCGCGGUGAAUACGUUCCCGGGUCUUGUACACACCGCCCG
rnacentral:rRNA from 1 species